rnacentral:rRNA from 1 species
UGCUUACCUGCAGUCGAACGCUGAAGCUUGGUGCUUGCACUGGGUGGAUGAGUGGCGAACGGGUGAGUAAUACGUGAGUAACCUGCCCUUGACUCUGGGAUAAGCCUGGGAAACUGGGUCUAAUACUGGAUACGACAUGUCACCGCAUGGUGGUGUGUGGAAAGGGUUUUACUGGUUUUGGAUGGGCUCACGGCCUAUCAGCUUGUUGGUGGGGUAAUGGCUCACCAAGGCGACGACGGGGAGCCGGCCUGAGAGGGUGACCGGCCACACUGGGACUGAGACACGGCCCAUACUCCUACGGGAGGCAGCAGUGGGGAAUAUUGCACAAUGGGCGGAAGCCUGAUGCACCGACGCCGCGUGAGGGAUGACGGCCUUCGGGUUGUAAACCUCUUUCAGCACGGAAGAAGCGAAAGUGACGGUACAUGCAGAAGAAGCGCCGGCUAACUACGUGCCAGCAGCCGCGGUAAUACGUAGGGCGCAAGCGUUGUCCGGAAUUAUUGGGCGUAAAGAGCUCGUAUGCGGUUUGUCGCGUCUGCUGUGAAAGCCCGGGGCUUAACCCCGGGUGUGCAGUGGGUACAGGCAAACUUGAGUGCAGUAAGGGAGACUGGAAUUCCUGGUGUAGCGUGGAAAUGCGCAGAUAUCAGGAGGAACACCGAUGGCGAAUGCAUGUCUCUGGGCUGUUACUGACGCUGAGGAGCGAAAGCAUGGGGAGCGAACAGGAUUACAUACCCUGGUAGUCCAUGCCGUAAACGUUGGGCACUAGGUGUGAUGAACAUUUCCACGUUUUCCGCGCCGAAGCUAACGCAGUAACUGCUCCGCCUGGCGGAGUACGGGCGCAAGGCUAAAACUCAAAGGAAUUGACGGGGCGCCCGCACAGCGGCUGAGCAUGCGUAUUAUUCGAUGCACGACGCAGAACCUUUACUAAGGCUUGACAUAAAUCGGGAUCGAGACAGAAUUGCUCGUUCCCGCUUGUGUCGCAUGGCUGCUAACAGGGGGCUGUC